AAGAAAGUAAGCAAGGGCAGACGGUGGAUGCCUUGGCUCUCGGAGGCGAUGAAGGACGUGAUAAGCUGCGAUAAGCUUGGGGUAGGUGCAAAUAACCUUUGAUCCCAAGAUUUCCGAAUGGGGCAACCCGGCUGGUAGAAGGCCAGUCAUUCCGUAAGGAAGGCGAACGUGGGGAACUGAAACAUCUAAGUACCCAUAGGAGAAGAAAACAAAAGUGAUUCCGCAAGUAGUGGCGAGCGAACGCGGAACAGCCCAAACCGAUGAUGUUUAGGCAUUGUCGGGGUAGUAGGACCACGUUGUGGCAAGAGAUUAAGGAAGUAGAACGUUUUGGAACAAACGGCCGUAGACGGUGAAAGCCCAGUAUACGACUCUUUAACGAAGCCUAGUGGUAUCCUGAGUAGCGCGGAGCACGAGAAAUUCUGUGUGAAUCAGCGGGGCCCAUCCCGUAAGGCUAAAUACUCCCGAGAGACCGAUAGCGAACCAGUACUGUGAAGGAAAGGUGAAAAGCACCUCGAACAGAGGAGUGAAAUAGUUCCUGAAACCGUCUGCCUACAAGCGGUCGGAGCACAUUAAAGUGUGACGGCGUGCCUUUUGCAUAAUGAACCUACGAGUUACUUUCUCCGGCAAGGUUAAGGGCUUCAGGCCCGGAGCCGAAGCGAAAGCGAGUCUUAAUAGGGCGUGAUAGUCGGAGUGAGUAGACGCGAAACCAAGUGAUCUACCCUUGGUCAGGAUGAAGGUUGGGUAACACCAACUGGAGGUCCGAAUGGGUAUACGUUGAAAAGUGUUCCAAUGAACUGAGGGUAGGGGUGAAAGGCUAAUCAAACUUGGAGAUAGCUCGUACUCCCCGAAAUGCAUUUAGGUGCAGCCUUUAUUUAGUAUAGCAUGAGGUAGAGCGACUGAUUGGAUGCGAGGGCUUCACCGCCUAUCAAGUCCAGAUAAACUCCGAAUGCGUGCUAUAUAUUGAUAAGGAGUGAGGGCGCGGGUGCUAAGGUCCGCGUCCGAGAGGAGAAGAAUCCAGACCAUCAGCUAAGGUCCCCAAAUAACAGUUAAGUUGAACUAACGAAGUCGGACUGCAGAGACAGCUAGGAUGUUGGCUUGGAAGCAGCCAUUCAUUUAAAGAGUGCGUAACAGCUCACUAGUCGAGGAGUCCGGCGUGGAUAAUACUCGGGCAUAAACUGUUUACCGAAGCUAUGGAUGUAGAAAUACAUGGUAGGGGAGCAUUCCAACGGCGUCGAAGGUGAAGGAUGACCUUUGCUGGAGCUUUUGGAAACGCAAAUGUAGGUAUAAGUAACGAUAAAGGAGGUGAGAAACCUCCUCGCCGAAAGACUAAGGUUUCCUGAUCAACGUUAAUCGGAUCAGGGUAAGUCGGGACCUAAGGUUAAGCCGAACGGCGAUACCGAUGGAAGAAUGGUUUAAUAUUCCCAUACUACUUUAUGGAGCGAUGUGGAGACGGAGAAGUGAAAGUCCUGCCAUCUGACGGAAUAGGUGGUUGAAGAGUGUAGAUGUAGAUUCCUGUAGGCAAAUCCGCAGGGAGAGUCGACCUUGAUAGUAUGCCGCGUGCUUGCACAAGGCAAAAUGGACGUAAUCAGGCUCCCAAGAAAAUCCGCUAAGCAUAUUCAUAAAGUACCCGUACCGUAAACGGACACACGUAGUUGGGUUGAAAAUACUGAGGCGCUCGAGUGAUUCACGGUUAAGGAACUAGGCAAAUUGACCCUGUAACUUCGGGAUAAAGGGUCCCUACUGAGAGGUAGGGCGCAGAGAAUAGGUCCAGGCAACUGUUUAACAAAAACACAUGGCUGUGCGAAAUAGAAAUAUGAAGUAUACAGCCUGACACCUGCCCGGUGCUGGAAGGUUAAGAGGAGAGCUCAUCGCAAGAGAAGGCUUGAAUUGAAGCCCCAGUAAACGGCGGCCGUAACUAUAACGGUCCUAAGGUAGCGAAAUUCCUUGUCGGGUAAGUUCCGACCUGCACGAAUGGUGUAAU
rnacentral:rRNA from 1 species